UGGGGAAUAUUGGACAAUGGCGAAAGCCUGAUCCAGCCAUGCCGCGUGUGUGAAGAAGGUCUUCGGAUUGUAAAGCACUUUAAGUUGGGAGGAAGGGCAUUUACCUAAUACGUAAGUGUUUUGACGUUACCGACAGAAUAAGCACCGGCUAACUCUGUGCCAGCAGCCGCGGUAAUACAGAGGGUGCAAGCGUUAAUCGGAAUUACUGGGCGUAAAGCGCGCGUAGGUGGUUUGUUAAGUUGGAUGUGAAAUCCCCGGGCUCAACCUGGGAACUGCAUUCAAAACUGACAAGCUAGAGUAUGGUAGAGGGUGGUGGAAUUUCCUGUGUAGCGGUGAAAUGCGUAGAUAUAGGAAGGAACACCAGUGGCGAAGGCGACCACCUGGACUGAUACUGACACUGAGGUGCGAAAGCGUGGGGAGCAAAAC
rnacentral:rRNA from 1 species